GACGAACGCUGGCGGCGUGCCUAAUACAUGAAAGUCGCACGAGUGGCGGACGGGUGAGUAACACGUGGGAACCUACCCAUCAGCGGGGGAUAACACUUGGAAACAGGUUCUAAUACCGCAUACUGAUGGAUGGACCCGCGGUGCAUUGGCUAGUUGGUGGUGUAAAGGCCUACCAAGGCGACGGUCCGUAACUGGUCUGAGGGGAUGAUCAGUCACACUGGAACUACGACACGGUCCAGACUCCUACGGGAGGCAGCAGUGGGGAAUAUUGGACAAUGGGCGAAAGCCUGAGCCAGCCAUGCCGCGUGUGGGAAGAAGGUCUUCGGAUUGUAAAGCACUUUAAGUUGGGAGGCGUUACCAACAGAAUAGGCACCGGCUAACUUCGUGCCAGCAGCCGCGGUAAUAC
rnacentral:rRNA from 1 species